UGCAGAGUAGGUGGCAUGCGUUAAGUGCUAAGGGAUGGGAAGUUGCCCUUAGACGAAAGGUUUAUCCUGCGAUAUGUCACCGCAUCCACUGCC
rnacentral:ncRNA from 2 species